rnacentral:rRNA from 1 species
CUCGUAGGUGGCCAACUAAGUCAUACGUGAAAUCCCUCGGCUUAACCGGGGAACUGCGUCUGAUACUGGAUGGCUUGAGUUUGGGAGAGGGACGCGGAAUUCCAGGUGUAGCGGUGAAAUGCGUAGAUAUCUGGAGGAACACCGGUGGCGAAGGCGGCGUCCUGGACCAACACUGACACUGAGGAGCGAAAGCCAGGGGAGCAAAACGG